rnacentral:lncRNA from 8 species
AUGGAGUACCUGCAAUCUUAUCACUGUUUACUCUGCUACUUUCUGCUGGCUCUUAGAGAUCCUGCACUCUGUGCUAAAGAGAUCACUGUUAGCCCAGACAAACCCAUUGUCAAGCUGGGAGAUGCUGUGACCUUGAUCUGUGAGACAACCUGUCCCCAAGUCAAACCACGCUGGAUGGAACUAGACGAGAGCGAUGUCAUUCAGAAUACCACAAACAACAGAAGUUAUCUACAUAUUGCAGCUGUACAGCUGAAUCACGAGGGAAAGUAUACCUGCACAGCAGCAAAAUGUAGCAAACAGAAGAAGGAAACAAUCCAGCUCAGAGUUUACUCUUUCCCGGUGCCUGUCCUGUCCACGGUGCCAGAGAACCCUGUCUCUGGUCAACCUUUUGAGGUGAAAUGUACACUGACAAAAGUUUACCACAGAGAUGAUGACAACGUUGAGAUGCGUCUCUUCCACCUUGACAAGCUUGAAACAGAACACUCCAAAAACUGUACUGAUGACAGAUUUUGUGAUCACACGUGGUCUUCUAAGAAUCAGACGGGCACUAGCAAAACAGAUUAUCAGUGUGAAACCAAUCUUACUAUUGCCCCUAACAGCUUUACUGAAAAGGCUCGUCUUACCAUACAUUUCCAGGUUAAACCCAUGGAAGCACCAACGUCAGAACAUAUAAAUGAGGAAGGCGAAGGUCAAGGUGAUGCUGGUGAUGUCUAUAAUAAUCCCAGAAGCACUGCCACGUCUCCUGAACAGAUAGGAUCACAAACGUCAGAACCUGUCAACACGGAAGGCGAAGGUCAAGCAGUGGAGGCCUCCAGCUCCACCACCACCACAGCCAUGGUUGCACUGGGCUCCACAGUGGGAUCCCUAUCCAUUCUCUGCUUGCUGGCUUACCUGAUCAAAUGGAGGAAACGCAAGUCAUCCCCCAGUUGUCCAGAGAACCAUCCUGAUGGCUGCUGA